rnacentral:rRNA from 1 species
GACGAACGCUGGCGGCGUGCUUAACACAUGCAAGUCGAACGAAGUGGCGAACGGGUGAGUAACGCGUAAUAAACCUGCCCUUCAGAGGGGGACAACAGUGGGAAAGGACUGCUAAUACCGCAUACUGAAGGAGGGGAUUGCGGCUGAGUAGCUAGUUGGAGGGGUAACGGCCCACCAGGGCGAUGAUAAGAAGCCGGGCUGAGAGGGUGAACGACCAACUUGGGACGUGGACACGGCCCCAGCUCCUGAGGGAGGCAGCAGUGGGGAAUCAUUCGAAAAGGACGAAAGGCUGACGGAGCAACGCCGCGUGAGAGAUGACGGCCUUCGGGUUGUAAAGCUCUGUUAAUCGGGACGCGGUACCGGAAUAGAAAGCAACGGCUAACUACGUGCCAGCAGCCGCGGUAAUAC